rnacentral:rRNA from 1 species
UACGUAGGGAGCAAGCGUUGUCCGGAAUCAUUGGGCGUAAAGAGCGCGUAGGCGGCCCUGUAAGUCCGCUCUGAAAGUCAAAGGCUCAACCUUUGAAAGCGGGUGGAUACUGCAGGGCUAGAGUCCGGAAGAGGCGAGUGGAAUUCCUGGUGUAGCGGUGAAAUGCGCAGAUAUCAGGAGGAACACCAAUUGCGAAGGCAGCUCGCUGGGACGUUACUGACGCUGAGACGCGAAAGCGUGGGGAGCAAACAGG